UACGUAGGGACCAAGCGUUGUUCGGAUUUACUGGGCGUAAAGGGCGCGUAGGCGGCGUGACAAGUCACCUGUGAAAUCUCUGGGCUUAACCCAGAACGGCCAAGUGAAACUGUUGUGCUAGAGUGCAGAAGGGGCAAUCGGAAUUCUCGGUGUAGCGGUGAAAUGCGUAGAUAUCGAGAGGAACACCAGAGGUGAAGACGGGUUGCUGGGCUGACACUGACGCUGAGGCGCGAAAGCCAGGGGAGCAAACGGG
rnacentral:rRNA from 1 species